rnacentral:rRNA from 1 species
GAUAAACGCUGGCGGCGUGCCUAAUACAUGCAAGUCGAGCGAACGGACGAGAAGCUUGCUUCUCUGAUGUUAGCGGCGGACGGGUGAGUAACACGUGGAUAACCUACCUAUAAGACUGGGAUAACUUCGGGAAACCGGAGCUAAUACCGGAUAAUAUUUUGAACCGCAUGGUUCAAAAGUGAAAGACGGUCUUGCUGUCACUUAUAGAUGGAUCCGCGCUGCAUUAGCUAGUUGGUAAGGUAACGGCUUACCAAGGCAACGAUGCAUAGCCGACCUGAGAGGGUGAUCGGCCACACUGGAACUGAGACACGGUCCAGACUCCUACGGGAGGCAGCAGUAGGGAAUCUUCCGCAAUGGGCGAAAGCCUGACGGAGCAACGCCGCGUGAGUGAUGAAGGUCUUCGGAUCGUAAAACUCUGUUAUUAGGGAAGAACAUAUGUGUAAGUAACUGUGCACAUCUUGACGGUACCUAAUCAGAAAGCCACGGCUAACUACGUGCCAGCAGCCGCGGUAAUACGUAGGUGGCAAGCGUUAUCCGGAAUUAUUGGGCGUAAAGCGCGCGUAGACGGUUUUUUAAGUCUGAUGUGAAAGCCCACGGCUCAACCGUGGAGGGUCAUUGGAAACUGGAAAACUUGAGUGCAGAAGAGGAAAGUGGAAUUCCAUGUGUAGCGGUGAAAUGCGCAGAGAUAUGGAGGAACACCAGUGGCGAAGGCGACUUUCUGGUCUGUAACUGACGCUGAUGUGCGAAAGCGUGGGGAUCAAACAGGAUUAGAUACCCUGGUAGUCCACGCCGUAAACGAUGAGUGCUAAGUGUUAGGGGGUUUCCGCCCCUUAGUGCUGCAGCUAACGCAUUAAGCACUCCGCCUGGGGAGUACGACCGCAAGGUUGAAACUCAAAGGAAUUGACGGGGACCCGCACAAGCGGUGGAGCAUGUGGUUUAAUUCGAAGCAACGCGAAGAACCUUACCAAAUCUUGACAUCCUUUGACAACUCUAGAGAUAGAGCCUUCCCCUUCGGGGGACAAAGUGACAGGUGGUGCAUGGUUGUCGUCAGCUCGUGUCGUGAGAUGUUGGGUUAAGUCCCGCAACGAGCGCAACCCUUAAGCUUAGUUGCCAUCAUUAAGUUGGGCACUCUAAGUUGACUGCCGGUGACAAACCGGAGGAAGGUGGGGAUGACGUCAAAUCAUCAUGCCCCUUAUGAUUUGGGCUACACACGUGCUACAAUGGACAAUACAAAGGGCAGCGAAACCGCGAGGUCAAGCAAAUCCCAUAAAGUUGUUCUCAGUUCGGAUUGUAGUCUGCAACUCGACUACAUGAAGCUGGAAUCGCUAGUAAUCGUAGAUCAGCAUGCUACGGUGAAUACGUUCCCGGGUCU